AUACCUUUCUCGGCCUUUUCGCUAAGAUCAUGUGUAGUAUCUGUUCUUAUCAGUUUUAAAAAAAACAACCCUAUUUUCUCCCAAUUGAUAUCUUCCUUUGCUUAAUACUUGCUCUGAUUGUCAUUAGCCAAU
rnacentral:snRNA from 1 species